UACGUAGGGUGCAAGCGUUGUUCGGAAUUACUGGGCGUAAAGGGCUCGUAGGUGGCCAACUAAGUCAGACGUGAAAUCCCUCGGCUUAACCGGGGAACUGCGUCUGAUACUGGAUAGCUUGAGUUCGGGAGAGGGAUGCGGAAUUCCAGGUGUAGCGGUGAAAUGCGUAGAUAUCUGGAGGAACACCGGUGGCGAAGGCGGCAUCCUGGACCGAUACUGACACUGAGGAGCGAAAGCCAGGGGAGCAAACGGG
rnacentral:rRNA from 1 species